rnacentral:rRNA from 1 species
GAGUUUGAUCCUGGGUCAGAUUGAACGCUGGCGGCAUGCCUUACACAUGCAAGUCGAACGGUGAUAAGGGGCUUGCACCUUUGACGAGUGGCGAACGGGUGAGUAAUGCAUCGGAAUCUGCCUAUUAGUGGGGGAUAACGUGGCGAAACUCACGCUAAUACCGCAUACGACCUACGGGUGAAAGCGGGGGACCUUCGGGCCUUGCGCUAUGAGAUGAGCCGAUGUCGGAUUAGCUAGUUGGUGGGGUAAAGGCCUACCAAGCCGACGAUCUGUAGCUGGUCUGAGAGGAUGAUCAGCCACACUGGGACUGAGACACGGCCCAGACUCCUACGGGAGGCAGCAGUGGGGAAUAUUGGACAAUGGGCGCAAGCCUGAUCCAGCAAUACCGCGUGUGUGAAGAAGGCCUGAGGGUUGUAAAGCACUUUCAACGGGAAGAACACCUAUGGGUUAAUACCCGGUAGGAUGACAUUACCCAUACAAGAAGCACCGGCUAACUCCGUGCCAGCAGCCGCGGUAAUACGUAGGGUGCAAGCGUUAAUCGGAAUUACUGGGCGUAAAGCGUGCGUAGGCGGUUGUUUAAGUCAGAUGUGAAAGCCCCGGGCUCAACCUGGGAACUGCAUUUGAUACUGGGUCACUAGAGUUGAGUAGAGGG